GCUGCAGCGACAUCUGGCGGUGGAGGAACAAACUGCAGCGACAGAGUUUUUCUGUUGUUCUGGCGCAUUAGUUUUAAGUGCCAAGAAAGAAACAAUACGUAAGAAGUAAGUAACCUCAAGAAAUGAGUAACAACCGCACUAAAUGUUUCAAAUCUUUCAAAAAUGACUGUUGAGUUUAGUUAUAGCUGCAUAAGUCUUUUACACUUUUCUUUAUCUGCCAAGUUCUGCAGGCCUUGAUAAAGCUCCAGCUCACCAGCUUCAGGCUCAAGUGCAAUUUCCCAGAUAGAAAACUGAAAAAAACAUGAUGUUUUUGUCUAGGAACAUGCAGAAAUCAGCCUAGGCGGCUUUUGAAUAGAACACAAGAGCCGUCACAAGGAGGGGAGGGAGCUGCAGCGACACCUGGCGGUGGAGAAACAAACUGCAGCGACAGAGUUGAAUAUUUUCACGAGUUAGAAUUUGUAGUAUUCUCAGUUAUUCUGGUGCAUUUCUCUGAUCAGAAUUAAAAUCUUCAGAACUGUUAGUUCAACCUUCACAAUACUGAGCCAUUUGUGCAUAUUUAUAUUUUGGUGCAAAAGGUUUGUGCAUCUGGAACAUGUAAUUUGUAGUUGUGUACAGUGAUUGUGUAUGUUUAUUAGUAAAUGUGAAAUCCGCACUCUAUGAGUUGUGUACUUGUAGAUUUUUUUUUUUAUUUCCACAAGUACAGCACAACAUUUACACAUUCACAAAUUCUUAAUUACAGGUGCCCAAAUCCUAUUUUACAAGUCACAGAUUCAAACUCUGACACACUCACAUUUUUGCUCCUUUUGUUGCAACACAUUUGGUGCAAAACAUAUUUGUGCACCUGUAUGGAGCAUUUUGAAGUUGUGGCCAAGAUUUGAAUAUAUGCAGAUCUUUAUGUGAACUUGUGCAAAAAUGGUACAUUUAUGUACCAUAAGCUUUCACGAAAAUAGUUGUGUUGUUUUAAACACACAUACAAAUUGAAAAUUACAACCGCGGGAAUGUUCGCCACGAGAAGAAAUGCUAUCACCUCUGAUUGGUUGUAAACCUGUCAAUCUCAGAUCAGCAAUCGCCUUUUGCACCAAACAGCUCAGCGACUUGAUUUGUAGCUGUCGGAAGCACAAUCUGUGACUCGUUUCUCUAUUUAAUUGCUUGAGUCAUUACAUUCAAAAAUGUUCAAUAGUUUUCAGAAUCUGUCAAGCAAAUUUUAUUAAUUUCUUUAUCAUUUAGUCCUGGAAAUGUCUCCUAAAGUGAACAAUUUUUCUCAGGUGAACCUCAGCUUCCACUCAUGAAGAGGGCUGUGUGAAGCAUUAGUUGCAACCAUAGACUGUAUAUAGAAUAGAAUAGAAUAGAAUAGAAUAGAAUAUUCCUUUAUUGAUCCCCCAUGGGGAAAAUUUCUUUGUCACAGCAGCAUCACAGACAAAGAGUGCAAAAAUGCAGUUAUAAAAAUAAAGAUCCUAAUAUUAAGACCUUAAAUAAAUGUAAUAAUUAAGAGAAAUAUUUAGGAAAAGGAAAAAGGGAGAAGAAAAAAAAUGGACAGCGUCUGCCUUUUCACUGGGUGAAACCACACCAAGAACAGCACCCUCUGGUGACGGGCUGCAGUAUAGGUCAUAAAUCCGCCUCCUCAAACAAUCCCUUUGGAGCUGUGGACAAACUUUAGAAAUUUAUUACACAGAAUAUACAUUUUUCUCCCCCCUGCUUGUGAUGUUGACAUGUAGUUACUGUAAGACUGGUUUGUGCUCAAGUCCUCUUUUUUCUGUGAAGCUCCAUUUUUAAAAGUUAUUAGGGGGUUCAUUUUUUCUGUGACUGACACUUGAUACAGCCCAUGGGCGUACAAUUCACAAGUGGUGGAGUGCGUACAACACUACUGCGCAAUGUUGGUUUCAGGAAAUGGGGAAAAAACGUGGAAUAACUGAGAGCUUUUCAGCUUCAAAUCUGUAAAGUGGCGGAAGGCGGAACCAAGUUGUCCACAGUAUAUACAGUCUAUGGUUGCAACCACUGAUAAGCCACUUCUCCACAGUCACUCAGGGCUGAAUCCCAUGAACCCUCACUUGGCUAGCAUAUAUCAAAUGAGCAGGACCAUUUCUACAAUACUUUAACACAGAAAUAGAAGGUCAGAGUGGUGAAGAGGGGUGAGGAUGUGAGAAGGGAAGGGGAAGAGGAAGUAGAGGCCAAGUAUAAAGGCAGAUUCCUGAUUAAAUUAGGGCUACACUUGUGGACUAUGUUGUCAAUCACGGCCUUACAAUGGCUUAGGCUGGUCGAAGGGUGGAGCCAAAUGUUGGGAGAGACACUGUAAAUUCAAUUAUUCAAACACUUGGUCAGGAGAACAGGGGCGCCUAUUGGACAGUAAUUCAGCACUAAACAAUCUGCACUGCACUAUGGUCAUUGUGUUAUACACGAAGCUCACAGUGGGACAAGACCUUCUUAACUUUUACAUUUAGACUUACAGCUUUACUACUUUGCAGAUUUACUGUAUUGUAGUGUACAGUAGUGUAACAGUAAAGAUUUGCCAUAUUUACAGUAUGGUACUGUACUGCAGCAUUUCACACAUGGAAAGCAUUUUUUUUUGUACUCUACAGUAAUAUUGUUUAAUGUGGUAUAUUUCUGUACCACACAGGAUUGCGAGACAACCUCACAGAGGUGGAAGAAGGUCUCUUUUUACUCCACAACAAAAGAAAGUCAUUUGUGCAACAGUGAUUUCAAACAAUUCCAAAGAUUAAGAGAAAUACAAAGUGCUGUUCUAGAGUUACCCCACAAUAUACCGUCAUGUGUAACCUCACUGUAGUUUUCAAAUGGCUAUGCAGGGUAUAGUGCAGUCUUGAGCAUUUUCAGAUGGUGUCACAGAUCUGACUUUUUGAAAACACUUAGAGAGUAAACUGGCAUAAUGAAAACAUGACAAAGCCAUUUGACUGCCUUGAUCGGAAACAAUGAUGUCAGGAUCUUUCAUUUUGAUGACACAGAUACUUUUAUUGACAUGAAUACUUGCUUUUGAGGAACGAACUAUUCAGUUUGAGCAAGUGACAUGCUUUUGCAGGUUAUCCACUAGGUUUUGCAGUUUGUACUAAUUGUUUUGAGAAAUUCACUAACUGUUGUGCAUAUGUCAAUAGUGAUGUGAGAAAUGCAGCAAAGCCACUGAGAAAAACUGUAAUAGCUUAUAUCUGAUAUGAUGAUGGUUAAUUUCCUGAUUGUUUAACCUUUUUUUCUGAUUAACUUAAUAUUGUAGACAUCCAAAUAUUUAUUAAUGGUGAACAUUACAAUCACCAGGAGCCUGAUAAAAACAAGAAAAAAAAACAAGACCUGGAGGCAAAAUUUCACUCCACUGAAUUUCACUAAUUCCCAUUUGAGUAUACUCUUACCUUGCAAAUUAGCUUUUUUUUAAUUUGUUUUCUUUUUCCAGGCUCAUAUUUCCAAUGAAUGUUUUAAUAAACAUGGUUAACAAGGCUAAAGGUUUCCAUCACUAAUGUGCUAAUCUCUAUUUAGUUAGUUUGCUCUUUAAACAAAUUUAAGCUAAGUUACACACAUUUUGUAGGUUAGUUUUGAAUAAAAUCAGGGCCAGUGCUGAUGAUUAAUAACACACAAGACAGAUAGCCAAUAUUUGAAAUGAAAUGCACUGACAGCAAAAAUCAAAAACUUUCAGUCAAAAAUUACAAACUCCAAUAUGACACUCUGCUGAAGUGCCUCCAACAAAUAUUUAAUCAGAACUGAAACAUUCAACAUCAGAAACAGAUGUUACAGUUUUCUCAGUCGCUUUGGUGCAUUUCUCACAUCACUAUUAACAUUUGCACAACACUCAGUGCAUUUCUCAGAACAAUCAGUACAAACUGCAAAACCUUGUGGAUAACCUGCAAAAGCGCGUCACUUGCUCAAAAUAAGUAGUUGUUCCUAAAAAGCAAGUAUUCAUGUCAAUGAAAGUGUCUGUGUCAUCAAAAUAAUCAGUCCCGACAUCAUUGUUUAUGAACACGACAGUCAAAUGGCUUGUUCAUGUUUUCAUUAUAACACUUUACUCUCUCUGUGUCUUUCAAUGCAAAAAAGUCAGAUCCUGGUGACUGAAAGAAAAAUUGCAUGUGUAUGCUAUCACGUGUAUUUUAUCAAUAUAUACGUAUGUGAAUCAUCAUUUAUUGAAAAUCACUUGGUGUGAAUGCUUUUGCAGAGUCAAACCUGUUUCUUUUUAAUGAGCAUGGGAAAGGAGAAGUAUGGCCUUGGAGUUGGGACUGAUACUUUUCCGCUGAAGCCAUGCAACUAGAUGAAUGCUAUAAUUUCACUCACAGGUUGUUUUCCCAACAGUGUGACAUUGAACUGAUAAGCAGGAACCUGAUGAUAAACUAAGCUGUCUUUGUUCUCCUAGUACAGACCACAGCUGCAACCUGUACCCUAUUUGGAUACUGUUGUAAUGUCAUGCCAUUUGUGAGAUGAUGUUAGUGGGCGGGGGUGUCUGUUUCUUGACUGCAUUAAGGAUAUGUAAAAAACUGAAUCUCUCAGUCAGAGGAAGCGGCCUUUGUUGUAAGCUGCUGACUCCUUGCAAGUAAAUGAUAUCGAAGAAAAAGAAGUCCACUAUCUCUGUCGUUCUUCUCAGCUGGCUGCAAGUCAGAUGCAGUUUAAUUUUUCUGACAGUGACACUACCUGAAAAUGCUCAAGACAGCACUAUACAAUAUCUGUGCAGCCGCUUGAAAACUACAAUAAAGUUACACAUUACUGUAUUUAGUGAGGUAACUGAAUACAAGACACAUGUAUGUUUCACAUGUUUACUGUAUUUGCUGCAAUUCUACAGCAUUGUGCAAAAAAUAAAUAAAUAAAUAAAUAAUAAUAAUAAUAAUAAUUCACAGUCACUUAUUUGGAACAAACAUAGGAUUCACAGUGGUUCUACCUACAUUUGGUUGCACCCGUCAACCAGCCUCAGCCAUAGUGAUGCCGUGAUUGACAACAUGGUCCACAAGUGUAGCCCUAAUUCCAUCAGGGAUUUGCCUUUAUACUUGACCUCUUCUUCCUCCACCCCUGUUUUGUCCCCUUCUUUCCCAUAUUCUCAUCCCUCCUCCAUGACACUGACCUUCCAUUUUUGUGUCACAGUAGAAAUGGUACACACUUUGUCCUGCUGGUUUAUAUAUGCUUGCCAAGUAAGCGUUCAUGGGAUUCAACUCUGAGUGACUUUGGACAAGUGGCAUGUCAUUUGUUACAAUUACAGUUUUUCUCAGUUGCCUUGGUGCAUUUCUCAGAUCAGAAUGAAAGUUCUCACAACUAUUAGUUCAAGCUCCACAACACUGAGUCAUUUGUACAUCAUCAUAAUAGUUUCUCAUUCCUCUGAACAAAUUGCAAAUGCUCUUAGACAUGUAUCAGUUACUUUCAUACAAUAACAUUAUCAUUUGCUUAUGUCAUGUCAGUCAAAAUGAACUAUACUUUUGAAUUCCCAUUCCCUAUAAAACUAAUAGUCCUCAUUUAAUUGCUUGAGUCAUUACAUACAAAAUUGUUGAACUAGUUCUCAAAGUCUGUUAAGACAAUUUACUAAAUUUUUUUAAUCACUUUUUGUUCCUGAAAAUGUCUCCUAAAUUGAACAAUUGCUCUCAGGUGAACCUCAGCUUUCACACAUGAGUGGUGUGUGAAGUAUUAGUUGCAACCAAUGACAAGCCUUUGUCCACAGUCACUCAGAGAUGAAUCCCAUAAACCCUCACUUGGCAAGCAUAUAUAGACCAAGCAGGACAUAGUGUGUACCAUUUCUACAAUUCUGUGACACAAAAAUGGAAGGUUAUUGUCAUGAAGGAGGGGUGAGAAUGCAGGGAGGAAGGGGAAGGGGACAAAACAGGGGCAGAGGAAGAAGAGGUCAAGUACAUAGGCAAAUCCCUGAUUAAAUUAGGGCUACACUUGUGGACCUUCAAAAUAUUAUCAAAAAUAGUAUUUCUUAUGUUUGUACUAAAUUAAGUGACUGUGAAUUUUUUUUUUUGCACAAUUCUGUACAAUUGCAGCAAAUACAGUAAAUAUGUGAAACAUAAAUGUGUCUUGUACUCAGUUACCUCACUAAAUACAGUAAUAUGUAACUUUACUGUGGUUUUCAAAUGGCUGUACAUGUAGUGUAUAGUGCUGUCUUGAGCAUUUUCAGGUAGUGUAACCAAGAUCAGAUUUUUUUGCGUUUGAAAGUUCUGUGUCAGAACUCAGAAGGGGUUUUAUUGCCAUCGUCGAUUAACAGGAUUCACAGACUAGGAAUUUGUUUUGGCAUGAUGGUGCAACAUUAAACAGAGAGAUAUAUAAAAUACUAGAAUAAAAACUUUGACUGUCUUGUUCAUAAACAAUGAUGUUGGGACUAAUCAUUUUGAUGACACAGACACUUUCAUUGACAUGAAUACUUGCUUUUGAGGAAUCAACUAUUCAUUUUGAGCAAGUGACAUGCUUUUGCAGGUUAUCCACAAGGUUUUGCAGUUUGUGCUGAUUGUUCUGAGAAAUAUGUGUUGUGCAAAUGUUAAUAAUGAUGUGAGAAAUGCACCAAAGCGACUGAGAAAAACUGUAACGGUCACUGACGAACACUUACAAAAAAAUGUUCACACACAAGCACACCUGGAUCUCCCUUAUUGUCUUCACCUGCAGGACAUUAUAAGAAAUUUUGAGUUUGGUUCUAGUUGCAGGUUUUGUCCAGGAGGAGGCGAUGUGUUUUAGCAGAUGAAGCCGUCUGUUGCAGCUCUCCAUGGCGUAGAAAAAGUCCAAAAGCAGAGCUCGAGCUGUUGUAUAAUGUGUGUCUCGGACACGUAGUGUGAGGGCGAAACAUAAGUGAGUUGUGUAGUAUGUGAAAAAGACUGGGUCUCGCUGUAUUACUCAGGCUGCACUACAGCGUCUAUUCACAGGCGCGAUCCCACUACUGAGCGGCACGGGUGGCUUUGACCUGCUCCGUUUCCGACCUGGGCCGGUACACCCCUCCUUAGACGACCUGGUGGUCCCGGGCUCCCCCAGGAGCACCAUAUCGGUGCCGAACUUAGUGCGGACACCCGAUCGGCAUAGUCCGCUGCAGCUCAGAACUCCUGAGCUCAAACGAUCCGCCAGCCUCAGCCUCCCGGUAGCUUGGAUUACAGGCGCGCGCCACCGCACCCGGCGAGGAACAAC